AUUGAACGCUGGCGGCAGGCCUAACACAUGCAAGUCGAACGAGUGGCGGACGGGUGAGUAAUGUCGGGGAAACUGCCCGAUGGAGGGGGAUAACUACUGGAAAAAGUAGCUAAUACCGCAUAACAUAGGCAGUGCCCAUAUGGGAUUCACUCGUGGGGGGGGUAACGGCUCCCCUAGGCGACGAUACCUAGCUGGUCUGAGAGGUUGACCAGCCACACUGGAACGGAGACACGUUCCACACUCCUACGGGAGGCAGCAGUGGGGAAUAUUGCACAAUGGGCGCAAGCCUGAUGCAGCCAUGCCGCGUGUAUGAAGAAGGCCUUCGGGUUGUAAAGUACUUUCAGCGAGGAGGCGUUACUCGCAGAAGAAGCACCGGCUAACUCCGUGCCAGCAGCCGCGGUAAUAC
rnacentral:rRNA from 1 species